rnacentral:rRNA from 1 species
UUGGGCGUAAAGCGAGCGCAGGCGGUUAGAUAAGUCUGAAGUUAAAGGCUGUGGCUUAACCAUAGUACGCUUUGGAAACUGUUUAACUUGAGUGCAGAAGGGGAGAGUGGAAUUCCAUGUGUAGCGGUGAAAUGCGUAGAUAUAUGGAGGAACACCGGUGGCGAAAGCGGCUCUCUGGUCUGUAACUGACGCUGAGGCUCGAAAGCGUGGGGAGCGAACAGGAUUAGAUACCCUGGUAGUCCACGCCGUAAACGAUGAGUGCUAGGUGUUAGGCCCUUUCCGGGGCUUAGUGCCGCAGCUAACGCAUUAAGCACUCCGCCUGGGGAGUACGACCGCAAGGUUGAAACUCAAAGGAAUUGACGGGGGCCCGCACAAGCGGUGGAGCAUGUGGUUUAAUUCGAAGCAACGCGAAGAACCUUACCAGGUCUUGACAUCCCGAUGCCCGCUCUAGAGAUAGAGUUUUACUUCGGUACAUCGGUGACAGGUGGUGCAUGGUUGUCGUCAGCUCGUGUCGUGAG